GACGAACGCUGGCGGCGUGCCUAACACAUGCAAGUCGAACGGAAAGGCCCUGCUUUUGUGGGGUGCUCGAGUGGCGAACGGGUGAGUAACACGUGAGUAACCUGCCCUUGACUUUGGGAUAACUUCAGGAAACUGGGGCUAAUACCGGAUAGGAGCUCCUGCUGCAUGGUGGGGGUUGGAAAGUUUCGGCGGUUGGGGAUGGACUAGCGGCGUAUGAGCUUGAUGGUGGGGUAGUGGCUUACCAAGGCUUUGACGGGUAGCCGACCUGGUAGGGUAACAGGCCCAGUUAGGCUGGGGAUACGGCACAGCCCCGAACGGUAGGCAGCGGAGGAGAAGAGAAUACUGUAGGAUGGAGGCAAGCGUGGCACAGCCACGCGGGGUAAGUCAGCCAGCCGGUAGUGAAGUGAAUUCGCCUGAGACGAGGCGUGAGUGACGGUAACGGGUGAAUAAGCACCGGCUAACUACGUG
rnacentral:rRNA from 1 species